rnacentral:rRNA from 1 species
UACGUAGGGUGCAAGCGUUGUCCGGAAUUAUUGGGCGUAAAGAGCUCGUAGGCGGUCUGUCACGUCGGCUGUGAAAACCCGGGGCUCAACCCCGGGCCUGCAGUCGAUACGGGCAGACUAGAGUGCGGUAGGGGAGACUGGAAUUCCUGGUGUAGCGGUGAAAUGCGCAGAUAUCAGGAGGAACACCGGUGGCGAAGGCGGGUCUCUGGGCAGUAACUGACGCUGAGGAGCGAAAGCGUGGGGAGCGAACAGG